GAUGAACGCUGGCGGCGUGCCUAAUACAUGCAAGUCGAGCGAACGGACGAGAAGCUUGCUUCUCUGAUGUUAGCGGCGGACGGGUGAGUAACACGUGGAUAACCUACCUAUAAGACUGGGAUAACUUCGGGAAACCGGAGCUAAUACCGGAUAAUAUUUUGAACCGCAUGGUUCAAAGGUAAAAGACGGUCUUGCUGUCACUUAUAGAUGGAUCCGCGCUGCAUUAGCUAGUUGGUAAGGUAACGGCUUACCAAUGCAACGAUGCAUAGCCGACCUGAGAGGGUGAUCGGCCACACUGGAACUGAGACACGGUCCAGACUCCUACGGGAGGCAGCAGUAGGGAAUCUUCCGCAAUGGGCGAAAGCCUGACGGAGCAACGCCGCGUGAGUGAUGAAGGUCUUCGGAUCGUAAAACUCUGUUAUUAGGGAAGAACAUAUGUGUAAGUAACUGUGCACAUCUUGACGGUACCUAAUCAGAAAGCCACGGCUAACUACGUG
rnacentral:rRNA from 1 species